AUGGGAAAUUGUACGUCUCCUGUUUACAGUAGUAGAUAUAUCUUUUUGACCACACUAAUUGUCUUUUUACCUAGCUCGAUGCAUCUCAGGUUAUACUUGCAUGUAUAUAUGGAUGUGGCUAGAAAGUGUUGGAAUUUUGCCCUCCGGAUCACAUCAAAUCACACAAACACACGGGCACGAAAAACUAAUAGCCCCGCGCACAAAAAACUAAUAGCCAAGGGCUUGUAUCUGUUGAAACCGCAGCCCUUUAGCUAUCUUUCCCCUGACUCGAACGGAGGUGGAAGAAGAAAAACAAUGGACACAAGAUUUUUCGGCCGGCGCACGGACAUCCUAAUCCUUUUCUUUCUUACCGUGGCUACACGCCUCGUACCGGCGCUCGGUGGCAGCGUACCACACCGCAAUCAGCAAUACAGGGGAUCUUUUAUGCCCCGGCGCGCACACACACUAUGGCACGGUGUGAUCCGCUCGGCCCGGCCACCCCUCACAACGAUCUCACGCGAAAGACUCGGCUGCUCUCAACAGCCCAUGCAUGCAUGA
rnacentral:rRNA from 1 species